CUGUCUGAUGAAAAGCAGCAGAACCAGAGACGGAUUGAGCAGGAAAGGAUGAAGAAAAUGAACGAACGGAGCUGUCGGGAA
rnacentral:snoRNA from 1 species